AGCACCACGUGUCUGGGCCACGU
rnacentral:miRNA from 1 species